GAUGAACGCUGGCGGCGUGCUUAACACAUGCAAGUCGAACGGAAAGGCCAGUGCUUGCACUGGUACUCGAGUGGCGAGCGGGUGAGUAACACGUGGGUGAUCUGCCCUGCACUUCGGGAUAAGCCUGGGAAACUGGGUCUAAUACCGGAUAGGACAAUGGUUUGGAUGCCGUUGUGGAAAGUUUUUUCGGUGUGGGAUGAGCUCGCGGCCUAUCAGCUUGUUGGUGGGGUAAUGGCCUACCAAGGCGUCGACGGGUAGCCGGCCUGAGAGGGUGUACGGCCACAGUGGGACUGAGAUACGGCCCAGACUCCUACGGUAGGCAGCAGUGGGGAAUAUUGCACAAUGGGCGCAAGCCUGAUGCAGCGACGCCGCGUGGGGGAUGACGGCCUUCGGGUUGUAAACUCCUGUCGCUAGGGACGAAGCGUAUUUGUGACGGUACCUGGAGAAGAAGCACCGGCUAACUACGUG
rnacentral:rRNA from 1 species